AUUGAACGCUGGCGGCAUGCCUUACACAUGCAAGUCGAACGGCAGCACGGGAGCAAUCCUGGUGGCGAGUGGCGAACGGGUGAGUAAUAUAUCGGAACGUGCCCAGUAGUGGGGGAUAGCCCGGCGAACGCCGGAUUAAUACCGCAUACGACCUAAGUGUGAAAGCGGGGGACCGUAAGGCCUCGCGCUAUUGGAGCGGCCGAUAUCAGAUUAGGUAGUUGGUAGGGUAAAAGCCUACCAAGCCAUCGAUCUGUAGCUGGUCUGGGAGGACGACCAGCCACACUGGGACUGAGACACGGCCCAGACUCCUACGGGAGGCAGCAGUGGGGAAUUUUGGACAAUGGGCGAAAGCCUGAUCCAGCCAUGCCGCGUGCAGGAAGAAGGCCUUCGGGUUGUAAACUGCUUUUGUCGGGGAAGAAACGCUCUGGGCUAAUACCCUGGGGUAAUGACGGUACCCGAAGAAUAAGCACCGGCUAACUACGUGCCAGCCGCCGCCGUAA
rnacentral:rRNA from 1 species